rnacentral:sRNA from 1 species
CACUGCUAAGCUAUCGCCGCUGCCAACCUAUCUAUUGCUGCAAGCUAUCCCUCACUGCUAAGCUAUCGCUGCCAACCUAUCUAUCACUGCCAACCUAUCUAUCGCUGCCAAUUUAUCUACCACUGCCAAUCUAUCUAUUGCUGCUAAUCUAUCGCUGCUGUCAAUCUAUCUAUCGCUGCUAAUCUAUCUAUCGCUGCUAAUCUAUCGCUGCUGCCAAUCUAUCCCUCACUGCUAAGCUAUCCCUCGCUGCUAAGCUAUCACUGCCAAUCUAUCGCUGCUAAUCUAUCGCUGUCAAUUUAUCUACCACUGCCAAUCUAUCUAUCGCUGCCAGUCUAUUGCUGCUAAUCUAUCGCUGCUAAUCUAUCGCUGCUGCCAAUCUAUCUAUCGCUGCCAAUCUAUCGCCGCUGCCAAUCUAUCCCUCACUGCUAAGCUAUCUCUCGCUGCUAAGCUAUCCCUCGCUGCUAAGCUAUCCCUCACUACUAAGCUAUCUAUCACUGCUAAUCUAUCGCUGCCAACCUAUCUAUCACUGCCAAUCUAUCUAUCGCUGCUAAUCUAUCGCUGCUAAUCUAUCGCUGCUAAUCUAUCGCUGCCAACCUAUCUAUCGCUGCCAAUUUAUCUACCACUGCCAAUCUAUCUAUUGCUGCUAAUCUAUUGCUGCUGUCAAUCUAUCUAUCACUGCUAAUCUAUUGCUGCUAAUCUAUCACUGCUAAUCUAUCGCUGCUAAUCUAUCGCUGCUAAUCUAUCGCUGCCAACCUAUCUACCGCGGCGAAUCUAUCUAUCACUAUCAUUACUAGUUCAAAAUAGAACUAGAGCAUAAAUACACUAAACUUCUUUUGAUAGGUAAUGAUUUUUGGUAACGCUCAUAGCAUUAUAUCAUCUAUAUAGGGUAAAUCAUGGUCCCAUUUGGUCCCAUUUUAACAAAAUGGGACCAAAUGAGACCAGAAUCAGUAAUUUAUAAGAAGAACAUGAUCUGGGACUAGAUUUAUAAUAUAAACAGUGUAAAGUGACUAAUUUAAUAAACACUAUAUGGAACCAGAACUAAGAAAUUUGAUAAUGGAACUGGAG